rnacentral:rRNA from 1 species
GAUGAACGCUGACAGAAUGCUUAACACAUGCAAGUCGAUUCAAUUUACCUUCGGGUAUUGAGGAUGGCGGACGGGUGAGUAACGCGUAAGGAACUUGCCUCUUGGUCUGGGACAACUGUUGGAAACGACAGCUAAUACCGGAUAUUAUGAGAUUCUCGCAUGGGAAACUUAUGAAAGCUAUAUGCGCCAAGAGAGAGCCUUGCGUUCCAUUAGCUAGUUGGUGGGGUAACGGCCCACCAAGGCGACGAUGGAUAGCCGGCCUGAGAGGGUGAACGGCCACAAGGGGACUGAGACACGGCCCUUACUCCUACGGGAGGCAGCAGUGGGGAAUAUUGGACAAUGGGCCACAAGCCUGAUCCAGCAAUUCUGUGUGCACGAUGAAGGUCUUCGGAUUGUAAAGUGCUUUCAGUUGGGAAGAAGAAAGUGACGGUACCAACAGAAGAAGCGACGGCUAAAUACGUGCCAGCAGCCGCGGUAAUACGUAUGUCGCAAGCGUUAUCCGGAUUUAUUNNNCGUAAAGCGCGUCUAGGCGGAAAAAUAAGUCUGAUGUUAAAAUGCGGGGCUCAACUCCGUAUUGCGUUGGAAACUGUUUUUCUAGAGUACUGGAGAGGUGGGCGGAACUACAAGUGUAGAGGUGAAAUUCNUA